rnacentral:ncRNA from 1 species
CUAAAGUUUGAUCCUUGCUUAAUCCUUCGCUAUUAGGUUAGUACACAUGUUAGAUUAUACGCGUAAUUUUUCAUUUUGAAAGUUGAUUGAUAGUUCUCAGUGUAAGAAAUUGGUUAAUGUGGUGAAACUUGAACCAGUGAUCUUAAAAGUUCAGGCUAAAUCUGUGCCAGCAGCUGCGGUUAAACUAAUAGGACAAGUGAAGGUGUGUAAGUGGGCAGUUCAAAUCGAUAUUUUGGCUUAGUGUCUUACUCCAAAGGUAAAGGGUGAAAUCUGGUGCCGGAGAGGGGUAGUUGGGGAUUAGGUCAAGUGGUUUCUAGGCUGUUAAAAUUCAGGCUUAAAACAGGAUUAGAUACCCUGCUAUACUGAAUUGUAAAUAUAUCACUUGAGUAGUAAACAGUUAUAUUCUCGAAACUUAAAGGAUUUGGCGGUAUUUUAGUCUUGUUAGAGGAAUCUGUUCCAUAAAUGAUAACCCCCGAAAUAUCUUACUUUCUUUUGUACGGCAGUUUGUAUACCGCCAUUAUUAGAUGGAUUUUAUAAAAUUUAUUGGAAUAGUUUAAAGCUAGUAUAUUAGGUCAAGGUGCAGCCAAUAGGAGAGCAGGUAAUGGAUUACAAUAUAAUGGGUAUAUACGGAUUUAGUGAGUGAAACUUUUACUAUGAAGGCGGAUUUAAUAGUAAAGCCUGUUUAAUAAGCAGGUUUGAUAAAAGCUCUAAGAUAUGUACAUAUCGCCCGUCGCUCUCACUUCUAACGUGAGAUAAGUCGUAACAUAGUGGGUGUAUUGGAAAAUGCACCUAGAGUUAA